GGAUGUGAGGGUGAUCUGGNUGCAACAUCUGUCACCCACUGAUACCAGGAUUGGUUUGGCAGAUUUGACAGUAUAGGCAGGUUCCCACUCAUCCCUCACCACUACAUGUACGGCCCUUCUAAACCUGUUUGGCCAUCACAGAUGGCCAAGGGAACCUGACAGCUGCCUCCCAUACUAGGAUCUCUAUACUUAGGUGUAUGUUAAUUUUCAGACUCAUUAAUUAACCUUAGCAAUAUGGUUAGGGAUAUGAU
rnacentral:snRNA from 1 species